GUUUGUAGCCUUUGUUUACCUCCAAGUGCUGCCAUCUGUUGGUGGACGAGAGAAGCAAUCAUGUCGGCCGUGGGAAGGAAAACACUAUCGCAGCUGUACCGCCAGGCUUGGGCAGAAAUUCCCGAGGUCAUGACAUCCUCCGUCAUGCUGCUUAUCGGUACUGGAUUUCUGACCGGCUCAGUAAUGCUUUACAACAGCAAAAAAGCCGAUAAUAAGAGAUACCGUUAUGUAUACACUGUGUAUCGUCCCGAUGAUCCACGUGUUUCAUCCAUCAAGGAGUAAGGGUAGCCCAGCUUCCCGAUGAACCAUUUGUAUAGUUAUAUAUUUAAAUCAUGUACACUAUUUACUAUUCUUUGUAAAAUGUAAAAAGUCCUUGGAAGUAAAGUGAUAUACGAG
rnacentral:lncRNA from 1 species